AGAACUUAGCAGAGAUGCUUUGGUGCCUUCGGGAACUCUGAGACAGGUGCUGCAUGGCUGUCGUCAGCUCGUGUUGUGAAAUGUUGGGUUAAGUCCCGCAACGAGCGCAACCCUUAUCCUUUGUUGCCAGCGGCUCGGCCGGGAACUCAAAGGAGACUGCCGGUGAUAAACCGGAGGAAGGUGGGGAUGACGUCAAGUCAUCAUGGCCCUUACGGCCAGGGCUACACACGUGCUACAAUGGCGCAUACAAAGAGAAGCGACCUCGCGAGAGCAAGCGGACCUCAUAAAGUGCGUCGUAGUCCGGAUUGGAGUCUGCAACUCGACUCCAUGAAGUCGGAAUCGCUAGUAAUCGUAGAUCAGAAUGCUACGGUGAAUACGUUCCCGGGCCUUGUACACACCGCCCGUCACACCAUGGGAGUGGGUUGCAAAAGAAGUAGGUAGCUUAACCUUCGGGAGGGCGCUUACCACUUUGUGAUUCAUGACUGGGAUGAAGUCGUAACAAGGUAAGCGUAGCGAG
rnacentral:rRNA from 1 species